rnacentral:rRNA from 1 species
GACCCCGAAUUCGCCAUUAGAGUUUGAUUAUGUCUCACAUUGAGCGAGGUUGGCAGGCCUAACCCCCGCAAGGAGAGCGGGAGAGAGAACCGUCCUUCUCUGGAGAGCGGUGGUCGGGGGAGUAAUGCCUGGGAAUCUGCCGGGGAGUGGGGGAUAACGUUCGGAAACGGAUAGCUAAUACCGCAUACGUCCUACGGGAGAAAGCAGGGGACCUUCGGGCCUGCGGUAAUCAGAUGAGCCUAGGUCGGAUCAGCUAGUUGGGGAGGUAACGCCUCCCCAAGGCCAGGAUCCGCAACUGGUCCUAGAGGAUGAUCCGUCACUCAGGAUCUGAUCCACGGUCCAGACUCGUACGGGAGGCAGCAGUGGGGAAUAUUCAACAAUCGGCGAAAGCCUGAGACAGCAGCCCCGGUAAU